rnacentral:rRNA from 1 species
UUGGCGUAAAGGACGCGUAGGCGGAUUAUCAAGUCUUUUGUGAAAUCUAACAGCUUAACUGUUAAACUGCUUGAGAAACUGAUAAUCUAGAGUGAGGGAGAGGCAGAUGGAAUUGGUGGUGUAGGGGUAAAAUCCGUAGAGAUCACCAGGAAUACCCAUUGCGAAGGCGAUCUGCUGGAACUCAACUGACGCUAAUGCGUGAAAGCGUGGGGAGCAAACAGGAUUAGAUACCCUGGUAGUCCACGCCCUAAACGAUGUAUACUAGUUGUUGCUGUGCUAGUCACGGCAGUAAUGCACCUAACGGAUUAAGUAUACCGCCUGGGGAGUACGGUCGCAAGAUUAAAACUCAAAGGAAUAGACGGGGACCCGCACAAGCGGUGGAGCAUGUGGUUUAAUUCGAAGAUACGCGAAGAACCUUACCUGGGCUUGAUAUCCAACUAAUCUCUUAGAGAUAA